rnacentral:rRNA from 1 species
ACGGAGGGUGCAAGCGUUGUUCGGAAUUACUGGGCGUAAAGCGCGUGUAGGCGGCCUAGCAAGUCAGACGUGAAAGCCCUCGGCUUAACCGGGGAAGUGCGCCUGAAACUGCUAGGCUUGAGUACGGGAGAGGGAGGCGGAAUUCCCAGUGUAGAGGUGAAAUUCGUAGAUAUUGGGAGGAACACCGGUGGCGAAAGCGGCCUCCUGGACCGAUACUGACGCUGAGACGCGAGAGCGUGGGUAGCAAACAG